UCUCCGUUGGUGAACCAGCGGAGGGAUCAUUACAGAGUUGCAAAACUCCCAAACCAUUGUGAACUUUACCUAUCCCGUUGCUUCGGCGGGCGGCCCGGGCCCCGCGCACGGCGCCCCCCGGCCCCCCGUGGGCGCCCGCCGGAGGUAAACCAAACCCUUGAAUUGCAUGGCCUCUCUGAGUCUUUUGUACUGAAUAAGUAAAAACUUUCAACAACGGAUCUCUUGGUUCUG
rnacentral:misc_RNA from 1 species